GUCGAGCAUGACGGGCCCGUGAACAUAUAAAAAAAAAAGCCCACAGCCACUACCAUUAUAUAUCCAAUGUGAAUAGGAAUAAACAGUGCGUUAUUUAGUGCUGAUAUUAGAUAGGUCAGCGGCUGCUGUCUGGCUCUUGUGUAACGGUCGGUGUGCGCGUUCGCGUGUGAGUGUGUAUGUGUGUGUGAAUCACAGUUCACCUUAGUUGAACUUGUGUGAUCUAGUUCACCGUAGUGUGAGGCUGUUGGUCCGGUCCGGUGGCUGUUGGGAGGAUGAACAGCUCUUCUUGAUCAUUACAAAAAACCAAACUACCCUUAAAAGACGCAGUGUGUCGUCACGUUUUUGUGGGGAUGAGAAGGUUGUGAUAGUUUGCUCGCCGACAGACUGUAUUAACGGUCGUGUGUGUGUUAACCUCGUUAAAGUGUCCGCCCGACAGCGAAUUUUAGCCUGGAAUUGAAUAAUAAAAACGGUCGUCGUGCUUUACCCAACGACUCCCGUCAAGUUUCUUUUGUUUGUUUGUUUUGCCGUUGCCCGUUUCUAACGACAACUGAAGGAGCACAUCCUGAUGAAGCUAAGAAGCGGAUGAAACGCGGACGUAAAUAAUUGGUGCUCGAAAUGGCGAAAAUCUCUUUCGGACUCAGCCCAGAGACAGAAUGCACAUCCACCUUUUAUCUGGUUCGGGGACUUUGGACGACGAUGACAGGCAUGCGUGUUGCAGGACUACGCAGAGGCUGACCUCAGAUUUCACCUCUGUAAUUGAGGAGUCCUGUAGACACGUGCCCACGGGGGCCCAGGAAGGACCACCACCGCUGCAAGCUCACUGCUACCUCUGCGCCGGAGGAAAAGGGAGUCUGAAAUUAUGACGUUUCCUAUGAGUCCCGAAAAAAAAAAGGUUGGUCGAUCAGAUCUUGAUGUGAUUUUCUAAUCAUUUUCCAGCUGUUGUGUUUACUGCUUAUUUGGCUUUACAAAUCCAUUUGGUUGUGUGUGGGCAUGUUUUUUUUUUUUUUACUGAACAUUACAUUUUCUGUAUACAUAUGUAAACUCUUUGCGAAAGAUUUAGACGCUGAUGGACAUUUUAGAUCUUAAACGUGUUGUUUUAUUUUCAUUCGAUGAAUAAGUCCACCAACUGGGAUUGAAAUGCUUCUUGCUUCUUUAAUCUGCUUUUGCUUGUCUUGUUGUGUUUUAAUUAAUUUUUGCUCCAUGGGAGUGUUAUGUUGUCUAUAUUGAGACACUGUUGUUUUUGUCUGGUUGUUUUUUUUGCUGUCCCAGAGCUCUGAUAAAAAGUUGUAGGUUAAAGAAGCUCAUGUUUUUAGUUUUUACUCAUAGCCCUCUCUACAAAAGCAUAAUUAUAAGUAGAAAAUUGUAGGUUCAUUAAAAUGCUUUAGUUUGCACUGGUAGGGCUGGUACUAUACCAGUAGCUUAAGCUUAUGAUUAAUAAAUGUCAUCUGUGCUUUUAUUAUUAACAGAAGAACAAUCGUCCUUAUAUUAGCUGACAGGACAAUAGGAAACAUAAAUGUACACUAGCAGUCAAAAGUUUUUAAUGUUUUUUAACCCCUUAACUGACACCGUCGUGCUAGCGGGACGCCUUCACUGUAUUGCAGUUAAAUUAAUCAUGACAAGCUAUAUAUCGCUGAAAAGGUCUAAGACUCCUAAAUAGAUAUUUUACCACUGUUUUUUUGUUACAAAUUAUGUAGGAACAGUAAUAGAUUAAUUUAUUACAACAGUACACCUCAAAAAAGUCUACAUCGUAACAGGAGGCUUUAAUUUUAUAGCAAUUUUGGAUUGAAAGUAUUUUGUAAAAUAUUUACUUUAUAUAAAAAGCACAUUUUCUUUAACUUUUGUAGUUUCAUUUUUUUAAAUGAUUUCACUUAAUAAUCUGCUGAUUGUCUCCUUUAAAAAGAGACUUUAGGUCCGUAUUCAGAAACGUUAAUGAAUUGUAACAAUUUAAGUUUGGAUUGUGCACUUUCACGUCUAUGUUCAAAAAUGGGGGGUGACAGUUAAGGGGUUAAAGAAGUGUCUUCUGCUCAACA